AUUUCCCCCAAGGCGCCAUGACGCGUUACAGAGCUGCCUGUGGGAGUGACAGACGGGGGAGCUUACACUAGCUGAAGGGGCUAGUACGAACCCCUGGCACCCAAGAUUUCCUCUGAAAUUGUAAGUGAUUGAAUUUAACCUAAAGACCCUCUACCUUCACUAUGCCUAUAAGGGCCCAGCUGCAAGAGAGAAAGAGAAUGAGGCAUUGAGAGCAAGAGGAGUUCUACAUCUACAUCAUACUGGAAGUUACCAUAACGUUGAAUAUGACAUGACCUAAAAUGCUGAAUAGUCGAAGUCCUGAAAGGCUUCUUCGAUGUUAUCUGCCAUUUCAGCACAAGGUCCUUUGGGCAGCGUUAGAUUGGCUGGCAGCUUGGUGUACUUCUCAUCAAAGUAGCUGACAUCCUCCGGUCCGUUGAGGCUGGGUACGAACGGGGCUGUUGCCUUCCCAUCAAUGAUGUCAUCCCAGGCUGUGUUCUGCAAACAG